GAACGAACGCUGGCGGCAUGCCUAACACAUGCAAGUCGAACGAGACCUUCGGGUCUAGUGGCGCACGGGUGCGUAACGCGUGGGAACCUGCCCUUAGGUUCGGAAUAACUCCCCGAAAGGGGUGCUAAUACCGGAUAAUGUCUUCGGACCAAAGAUUUAUCGCCUUUGGAUGGGCCCGCGUUGGAUUAGCUAGUUGGUAGGGUAAAAGCCUACCAAGGCGACGAUCCAUAGCUGGUCUGAGAGGAUGAUCAGCCACACUGGGACUGAGACACGGCCCAGACUCCUACGGGAGGCAGCAGUGGGGAAUAUUGGACAAUGGGCAAAAGCCUGAUCCAGCAAUGCCGCGUGAGUGAUGAAGGCCUUAGGGUUGUAAAGCUCUUUUACCCGGGAUGAUAAUGACAGUACCGGGAGAAUAAGCUCCGGCUAACUCCGU
rnacentral:rRNA from 1 species